AUGGUCGGUGAGCGUGUGGUCGCCAACGUUGAGGCUAUGCACCCAAUUCUUCUGGCGGCGAUAGGAGCAUUGAGUAUAUUUGCUGAUGGAGAAAUGUUACAGUUUGCUUGGAUAAAACUUCUUAGAAUAUUAGACUUAGAAGGUUCUGGGUUUGCCAGGAAUGGAGAUAUUAGAAAUAUAUGUAAACUGUUUCAGUUGGAAUAUCUCAGUCUCCGGAAUACAUAUGUCACUGAGCUUCCUGUGCAAAUAGGAAACCUCAAAAUGUUGGAGACACUUGAUGUCAGGGACACAGCCAUAAAGCAUUUGCCUCCACACAUUACCAAUCUGCCAAAUUUGUCAAACCUACUUGGAGGGAGAAGAGUUUAUAACUACAGUGGUUUGUCUCCCAUUUCCAAUUUUUGGGGAAUGCACAUCCCUAACAAGCUUGGCAAUUUGAAAAUGCUUACAACCCUUGCACAGAUAGAGAUCACAGACUCUACUUCCUGUUACAUAUCUGAAUUGGGGAAGCUUUCACAGUUGAGGAAGCUAGGGGUAAUGAUGUUUGUUCACGACGACAUGAACUGGAUGUACUUGAUCACCGCCAUUGCAAAACUGAGCAGUUGCCUUCAGUUGCUGCUGAUUUGGCGACCAGACGGAGUAAUGAAUUUCAGGAUUCUUGAUACACUAUCCAGGCCACCAAUGUUUCUAAAAAGCAUAAACUUCCGAGGUAAGUUGGGACGGCUACCAGAAUGGAUUGGUUUGCUGGCUAAUCUAACUGAGUUGACCCUUCGCGCCACUGAAUUGGAAUCUGAGGAGUGA
rnacentral:rRNA from 1 species